rnacentral:misc_RNA from 1 species
CCGGGGCUAGUUUGUGUUUCAGACUUCCAUAUUUCCAUUUGCAGUUGGGUGAAGUGGUUAGAGCUGAAAGGGGACAGCUGGAGUCAAACAACUUAACUCAAAUAUCUGGGAACGAUUUCGCGCUGAGGAAGACCCUUUGGGACUUGUAGCUCCACUCCGGGGAACGGACUCGCCGGGACUGACAGUUGCCGGAAGCGGGUGGUCCUGGGCUCCAGGAACCACUGCAACUUGGGGAGUUGGAUAUCACUUCUGAUGAAUUCAUCCUGGAUGAAGUGGAUGUUCACAUUCAGGCAAAUCUGGAGGAUGAGUUAGUAAAGGAAGCUCUUAAAACGGGUGUAGAUCUCCGUCACUAUUCAAAGCAAGUUGAGCUGGAGCUACAGCAGAUUGAACAGAAAUCCAUUCGGGAUUAUAUUCAAGAGAGUGAGAAUAUAGCAUCUCUACACAACCAGAUCACAGCCUGUGAUGCUGUCCUGGAGCACUCCGGCAACAUCUACCCUCCCUACAGCGAAUGGAGCAGAUGUUGGGAGCUUUUCAGAGUGACCUCAGCUCCAUCAGCUCUGAGAUCCGGACACUGCAGGAACAGUCAGGAGCCAUGAACAUUCGACUUCGAAAUCGCCAGGCAGUUCGGGGGAAACUUGGGGAGCUUGUUGAUGGUCUGGUGGUGCCUUCUGCUCUGGUCACGGCAAUUCUGGAGGCUCCAGUGACAGAGCCCAGGUUCUUGGAGCAGCUACAGGAGCUGGAUGCCAAGGCAGCCGCAGUCAGAGAGCAGGAAGCUAGAGGCACAGCAGCCUGCGCAGAUGUCAGAGGCGUGCUCGAUCGGCUCCGGGUCAAGGCAGUGACGAAGAUCCGAGAGUUUAUCCUCCAGAAGAUUUAUUCCUUCAGGAAACCCAUGACCAACUAUCAGAUCCCCCAGACGGCCCUGCUGAAGUACAGGUUCUUCUAUCAGUUUCUGUUGGGCAAUGAACGAGCAACAGCAAAGGAGAUCAGGGAUGAAUAUGUGGAGACGCUGAGCAAGAUUUACCUGUCUUACUACCGCUCUUACCUGGGGCGGCUCAUGAAG